rnacentral:rRNA from 1 species
UACGUAGGGUGCAAGCGUUAAUCGGAAUUACUGGGCGUAAAGCGUGCGCAGGCGGCUUUGCAAGACAGAUGUGAAAUCCCCGGGCUCAACCUGGGAACUGCAUUUGUGACUGCAAGGCUGGAGUACGGCAGAGGGGGAUGGAAUUCCGCGUGUAGCAGUGAAAAUGCGUAGAUAUGCGGAGGAACACCGAUGGCGAAGGCAAUCCCCCUGGGCCUGUACUGACGCUCAUGCACGAAAGCGUGGGGGAGCAAACAGG